rnacentral:lncRNA from 1 species
GAUCUACCCGGCUGGCGACGAACAGAUUCACGUCACACGUGCACCACCGUCGAAGUAAAGGGCCUGUUCGCUUCAGCUUAUAAGCCGGCUGAAAAGCUGAAACGGCUGAUUUGUUGUGAGAGGAAAAUACUGUUUGGUGGCUGAUAAGCCGACUGAAUAAGCUGAAGCGAACAGGGCCAAAAAGGUUACACUCGGCUCCAUCGUGGUCCUGUCACAAAUUUCUCGUACUAAGAGCCGAAACAUUUUCUCUCUCCCUCUCCAGUAGCAGCUUUUGGAGUUUGGAGACCAUUGCUACAGCAGACUACUAAAACUUCAUCUCCAAAAUCCUUCCUUACACGUGGACUCCAUGUGUCAGUGAGUACCCCCUCCUCUACCUUGGUCCUUCCCUCAUCCUCUCUUUCUCUCUCGCGCACCGCCGCUAGCCUUGUCGCACACACCGCCCCCACCGCCGAUGGUCGCCCUCUCCACCGCCGGCCUCACACGUGCCCUUAACCUCAGAUCUCCCGUUGUCGACCGCCUCUCCACCCCACCCUCUCCCCCCUUUGCUCCUAUGGCUGCCACCAGACUCCUUGGCCUCCCUACGGUGGAGCUCUCCCGACCGGCCCCGCGAUCGUUGCGUCCCGCGCGAGGCAAGGUAGGGGCGCGCCAGCAUGAGGCGAGG